rnacentral:misc_RNA from 1 species
UACUGGCAGGAUCAACCAGACAGUGAAGAACAAGUAUCCACUUCCUCGGAUCGACGAGCUCUUCGACCGGAUUUAGGGUGCUCAGUAUUUCUCGAAAGUGGAUUUGAGAUCGGGAUAUCAUCAGCUUCGAGUCAAAUAGUAGGAUGUGCAAACGACAGCUUUUCGUACUCGUUACGGGCACUACGAGUUCCACAUGGUGCCAUUCGGGUUGACGAAUGCGCUAGCAGUGUUCAUGGCUCUGAUGAACAAGAUCUUCGCUCUGCACCUUGACAGCUUUGCAGUGGUGUUCAUUGAUGAUGUUUUGGUCUACUCCAAGUCCAGAGAGGAGCACGAGCAACAUUUGAGGACAUCUCUACAGUUGUUGCCCGAAAACCAGUUGUACUCAAAGCUCAGCA